AAAUAGGAAAACACAACGCCAAAUAGGAAAACACAACGCCAAAUAGGAAAACACAACGCCAAAUAGGAAAACAACGACAUUAACUUCUAACGGAAAAGGUAGGGCCUAUCUAGCAGAGGACGGAACGGAACCUCCUGAUUGGACAGAAGGACCGCCUGUCUUUUAACAGGAAGGAGGGGUGAAAAACACGGAAAAGCGCCUAUUUUCAAAACAUGAGUACUCCCGAAGAUACUUUCGCUAUUAUAAUGAAUUAUUUUGAUGCAGGGCAUACAUACGACGUGGUAGUUGAUAUGUUGUCAACCAAUCACAACAUCAGGAUGAUUAUACACACGGGUUGUACAGAAGGAACAACUAUUCACAACUGGAUGAGGUGAGACGUGCCAUCCUUACAGAGCUGCAUGGACCAGGGCAACUAUUCCGCUAUCGGACUAUGUGGCAAGUACAGCAAAAACACAAGCUACGUAUUAAACGACACACAGUGAUGAGACUGCUGAAGCAACUAAAUCCACAAGGAACGGAUGCGAGAACACUACAGACCAUGGGACUGAAAAUGGCAUCAUGGCUGCAAUACAGUGUACCCUCAGACACGAGCAUACAGACUGCGGCCGCUUAUAAGUGUAAUUGUGUUACAGCAAAAAGUGUUCAUCUGCCAAAAACUGAUUUCAGUCAAAUAAAAAAGUAUUGCAGCAGGGCUCAAUUUUGGAUGGACCUGUUUGGAGACCUGAGAGACUCUGGACAUUUUAAUGGCAGCCAUGAACUUAAGGACUUAUUGAGAUUCUGCUUCAGUAAUGUUCUGCAAAAAGACCUGGAUGAGAGCACAGACCUCUGGAAUAAGCACAGGAUUACACUCUCCAGACAUGCAUCAUGUCCUGGGGGAACUACAGACGAACUCUAUCUCAUAAAUUCCACCACACAUAUUAUUGGAAAUACAUUUGGAUUUGAAGUCAUGUUUUCCCUUUAUGGUAAAUUAUUGUGUCACUAUGCAGGUUUGGUUCAAAGGACUGGAUACGUUUCCAGAGUCAAGGCAAACUCUUCAUUCAUGCAGUGAUCCAGACAUCCAGGAUUAUCUUCAACAGACUGUUGAGCGAAAUGGAUUACAGCAGCCACAUAAUUGGGAGUCAGCCUCAGAACUUUAUGUCACCUUGAAAGAAAUAGCUGGCCUAUAAAUAUGGUCUACUGCAGCCCACUCUUAAAGGCCAGAUGUUAAAGGAAAACAUUCUCAAAUGUGGCUUAGCGGUUUGAGUAUCAUGUUUGGCAAGUGGAGUUCAGUAUAUGCAGUGUCAUAUCAGAGUGGAGACAUACAUUAAACUCAAAUGUAACUCCCAAACUAUAUUUGUUUAUUUUCGGAUUCACCAUCGAGUUAACUGUGUGUCAAUUGUAGGUCUGAACAACCAAAGAAACGUGGUUCUUUUCAAGAGGUAUUGUUAACAAGCUUGUUUGCAAGCACAACAUGUUAUACACUGUUUCAAAUGUGAAACUACAUACAUUUUAGCUGAGUACAAUUUUACUGUUACUUGUAAUGUGACCUGUACUUAAAAAAAUGUCUGUGAUUUUUCAUUGAACAAAGUAAUGAACAGAAAUAAUACACAUUAAAAUACUUUGAACUGAG